AACGAACGCUGGCGGCGCGUCUUACACAUGCAGGUCGAACGGCAGGAAGGGGCUUGCCCCUUCUGAGAGUGGCGGACUGGUGAGUAACACGUGGGUGACAUACCUUUUAGUUGGGGAUAGCUAUUAGAAAUAGUAGGUAAUACCGAAUGUGACCGUACCUGUUAGAGGGGUACGAGGAAAGGAGCUAAGGCUUCGCUAAAAGAAUGGCUCGCGGCCCAUUAUGCUCGUUGGUGAGGUAACGGCCCACCAAGGCGAUGAUGGGUAUCCGGCCUGAGAGGGUGAACGGACACAUUGGGACUGAGAUACGGCCCAGACUUCUACGGGAGGCAGCAGUUAAGAAUAUUCCGCAAUGGACGAAAGUCUGACGGAGCGACGCCGCGUGGAUGAAGAAUGCCGAAAGGUUGUAAAAUCCUUUUAAGCCUGAUGAAUAAGCACAGUAGGGAAUGAUUGUGCGGUGACCGUAGGGCUUGAAUAAGCACCGGCUAAUUACGUG
rnacentral:rRNA from 1 species